rnacentral:rRNA from 1 species
GACGAACGCUGGCGGCGUGCUUAACACAUGCAAGUCGAACGCUGAAGCUCAGCUUUUGUUGGGUGGAUGAGUGGCGAACGGGUGAGUAACACGUGAGUAACCUGCCCCCUUCUUUGGGAUAACGCCCGGAAACGGGUGCUAAUACUGGAUAUUCACUGGUCUUCGCAUGGGGGUUGGUGGAAAGGGUUUCUCUGGUGGGGGAUGGGCUCGCGGCCUAUCAGCUUGUUGGUGGGGUGAUGGCCUACCAAGGCUUUGACGGGUAGCCGGCUUGAGAGGGUGACCGGUCACAUUGGGACUGAGAUACGGCCCAGACUCCUACGGGAGGCAGCAGUGGGGAAUAUUGCACAAUGGGCGCAAGCCUGAUGCAGCGACGCCGCGUGAGGGAUGGAGGCCUUCGGGUUGUGAACCUCUUUCGCUCAUGGUCAAGCCGCAACAAUGGUUGUGGUGAGGGUAGUGGGUAAAGAAGCGCCGGCUAACUACGUG